UACGUAUGGUGCAAGCGUUAUCCGGAUUUACUGGGUGUAAAGGGAGCGUAGACGGAUAGGCAAGUCUGAAGUGAAAGCCCGGGGCUCAACCCCGGGACUGCUUUGGGAACUGUUUAUCUAGAGUGCUGGAGAGGUAAGUGGAAUUCCUAGUGUAGCGGUGAAAUGCGUAGAUAUUAGGAGGAACACCAGUGGCGAAGGCGGCUUACUGGACAGUAACUGACGUUGAGGCUCGAAAGCGUGGGGAGCAAACAGG
rnacentral:rRNA from 1 species